CCCUUAGAUGUUCUGGGCCGCACGCGUGCUACACUGAGUGGAUCAGCGGUUCAGGUUGCGCGAAAGUGUUUCCUAAUCUUGAAAUCCGCUCGUGAUGGGGAUUGACGGUUGCAAUUUUCCGUCAUGAACGAGGAAUACCUUGUAAGCGCGGGUCAUCAUCCCGCGCUGAAUACGUCCCUGCCCUUUGUACACACCGCCCGUCGCUCCUACCGAUUGAGUGGUCCGGUGAGGCUUUGGGAUCUGAGCGGAAAGAGCGUUUCGCUGUUUCUGCUCGGAAAACUCAGUCGAACCUUAUCAUUUAGAGGAAGGAGAAGUCGUAACA
rnacentral:rRNA from 1 species